UACGUAGGGUGCAGGCGUUAAUCGGAAUUACUGGGCGUAAAGCGUGCGCAGGCGGUUUGCUAAGACAGGUGUGAAAUCCCCGGGCUUAACCUGGGAACUGCGCUUGUAACUGGCAAGCUAGAGUGGUGGCAGAGGGGGGUGGGAAUUCCACGUGUAGCAGUGAAAUGCGUAGAUAUGCGGAGGAACACCGAUGGCGAAGGCA
rnacentral:rRNA from 1 species